UUCUGCAGAAGCUGAGCGGUGCUGGCUCAGAGCAGCCAGGGCUUAUCCAAGGAAGAACCCCUCCACGCAGCCUCCACGCCCCUCUCUGAAGAGUGACCCAUACCUCGUCACCCACUGGCUUCAAGAUCGCCACUGACCCCCCGCCUUUUCCUGCAAGGAGCACCGCAGCCUGCAGGGUCAGCUCCAUCCUCCGGAGUCCUCCGGAUGCAGCCCGGCCUGAAGUCCUUCCUGAACACCUGUCGUCAGGACCCUCCCUGCCCCUCUAGGCUCCAAGGCGCUGAGGAUCACGAGAGUGCCUGUCUGUCCAGUGGUGUCCCCCUGCCACAGCUGUCGCCCACCCACCUUCAAGCAGAACAGAGCAGAGGGUCGAGUCUCUGUCGCAUCAGCUUUAGAUUCCCGCCUCCCUGUCCUGGGCCGCUCGCCACACCUUCGUCCUGGAGGUUCCCGCCAGCUUGUUCACAAACCGAAGGCCUCGGGUUUCUCUCCCCAGACUGUCCCAGCGUCCCCUUCAGAGAGGAGGCUGGCAUCUGAAGUCCCCUGUCCCAGUUGGAAUUAGCCGCUUCGCCCCAGAAUCUAGCUUGCUCCCCUGGGUCUGUCACGAAUAGGGACCCGGCCGAAAUGUGUCAUCAUGCAAGACAGUCCUUCCUGGAACUCAAUCUGAGUGGCUUUUUGCAAAAACAGGAGACGAGCAGACAACAUCUUUCCCAACCUUGAUAACCACGUCAAGACGGGGCUCAGGCACUCCUGACCCUCCCCCAAUUAAAUAACCUCAAUUCCUUUCCUCAAAAGGAUCACCUGGAGCUCCCGUGGUGGCUCGGUAGUAACGAACCCAACUAGUAUCCCUGGCCUUGCUCAGUGGGUUAAGGAUCCAGUGUUGCCGUGAGCUGUGGUGUUGGUGGCAGAUGUGGCUCAGAUCUGGCUGAGUCUGAGCUGCAGCUUCAAUUCAACCCCUAGCCUGGGAACUUCCAUACACCAUGGAGCAGAGGCGCAGGGGUGAGACAUCCUGGAGGCCAGCUGGGAGGAGGCCUGUGCUUCCAGGAUGGGGCCCGGAGAGCAAGUCUUCAGUGCAGGUGGCCUGCUUCUCUCAGUCAACCAUGGGGACUGCUUAGAGGCUUGGAGCAGGGGAACAGCAGGGUCCCCGUUUUGACCCUGGGAUAUAAUGGCUCUGGCCUCAGUUGUAAUUGGGUCCGCGCUGUGUCCUUACGUAGCCAAAUGCCACCCUCCACGCCAAACUGUCACUCUUGUCUCAUUCCACCUUGCCCUCACCACAGGUCUGUGGCAUCACCUUUCUGAUGCACACAGACAACAGUCAACGGAGGGGUGACUUUUCUAGCAACUGUGCAUAUUGUGUUUUUGCUUGGUUGCAGCAUGACAGUGGAAUCUCUCAUAAUCAGCUUCAACUGGUUCCAAGCCAGGGGACCCCCGGGCACUUGCCCAGGAUGGUUGGAGUUCACGCCGGCUUAUGCUGCUGUUCUUGCUGGUGAAUGGUGUCCCCCGCUUCUCUCACAAAUGUCCUGCUUUGGAAAAUAAGUCAUAUGGUUACCUGACACUUUAUGUUUGGAAAAUUGAGGCUGGGGGCUGCUGUACUCUGUGCAUUUAUCCCCCAGGGGGCCCUGUCCAUGGGCUUUUUGGAGGAGAGCAGAGACUGGACCCCGAGUUUUUUAUUGCUUAGCCUUGCAAAUGCUGGAUGGGGUGGCCACGGGGUGCAAAUUUCCCCUUUGCUCAAGAAUUGGACAAAACCCCAAGAAUACAAAGAGCUAUGUGCCCCCAAAUUCCUGGGAAGCCUCCAACAACUGGGGCGGACUUGGAGGCAGCAUAACCCCUCGGUGACUCUCCAGCACCCCUGCACCCUUACUGCCAGCCUAGGGGAGAGCAGGGAGGGGCAGGUCAGCCCUGGGGGGCCCGAGCUCCCAGUGAGAGGCUCCCCCUCUCCUCCGGCCUCCAAGAGCAUCUCUGCUGAGGCCAGGGGUGCCUGGCCGAGCUCAAACCCCACUCCCAGGGCAGAUGUCUGCUCAGGACGCAGGGAGACGGGAGUGGCUGAGACCUUUGUCUUCAACUGUAAUUUCAAAAACAGGGCAAAGUGACCUUCGGGGCUCCUUUCUGGCAAUAGCAGAUUGUGGGCCCAUGAACAUGACAGAUGCCAUGUCCAGGCCUCAUAAAGUAACAAGCCCCUGCACCAGGAUCCCAGGCAGUGUCCACACGGCUCCAACUGGGACUUUCACCUGCCGCCUCUGGCUACUUUUCUUCCCCAACCAGAUGCUCAUUAAUCCAGUCAGGUGUGCUUGGCUGGAAGCCCAGGGGACUGAGGCACCAACUGAUGGGUCUUUCGCUGGAACUGCUGAAGGGCACGCAGCACCUUUUCUUCCAAAGUCCGUCCGGCCUGGUCCCCAGUGGGUUUAUUGACACCUGGCUUUAAGCUUUGGUGGCAAACCGUCUCCUCGGAGUGCGCCUUCAGGACACAGAGGCUUCGGAUGCUGACGUGGAGACCUGAGUGCACAGGGGACAGGGGAGGCUGCCAAGGGGGCGGCAGCUCAUCCUGGCAGUUCUCUCCCCGGCCCGGGGCUCUCAUACCUGGCCGGCAUCAGAAGCCCCUGGGGGGCUUGCAGGAGCACACCUCCCCGGGGCUUCUGAUUCACCGGCCUGGAUGAGGUCUGAGAAUCUUCACCCUUGACCGUCCCAGUGGCACUGAUAUCAUGGUCCACGCUCGGAGAGCCUCUACCCUGGUGUCCUAGUGGGGGCAGGGCCGUCUGCCCCCUGGACAUGGCCCCACCUGCCAGGCCCGGUCUGUGAUGAAAGCUCCCCUGGCGGGGCCGCCGCAGGGGCUGCAAAGCUCAAAGGAUUCGACCAGGAGGCAGCCCAGCCUGGUGCUUGUGGCUCUGAAGGGGAGACUCUGGGGAGAGGGGGCCCAGGUGGGCCAGGGGAGAUUUUAGCAGAAGUGACAUUUGAGAUUGGGGACAAAGAAGGACCAGGCCACGAAAGGAGGAUGAAGGGAGCCCCCGAGAGCAGGAUGGACAGAAGCAAACCCCCACCCCGAACGGGAGAGAACUCUGUGGAGCAGCAAGCAGGUCGGUCAGGAGUGCUGUGACAGGAGCAGGGGUGACAGCUCAGGCGGGACAGCAGGUCGGUCACAACCUGCCAGGACCUGCAGGACCGUCAGAAUCUGGACAUCAUCCUGAAGGCAGGGCAGCUGGGAAGGGGCAGAGGCGUGGGCUAAUAUCCGAUCCUGGGCCCCAGGGGGCUGUGACUUCCCAGAGGGAACAGCCCUUGGAGGGGCCCGGGCUGGGGAUCAGGGAACAGAACUGAGGCGGGAAGUGGGGGUGGGGGGAGGCGGGCUGGCUUAAAUGACAAACAUUGAUUUCUCACAGUUCUGGAGGCAGGAAGUCCAGGAUCACGCCAUUGGUGGAUUCAGUGCCCGGUGAGAGCCCUCUGCCCCUGGCAGGGUGGCAGCCGGCUCCUCACGUAGGGCAGGGGGUAGGAGCAAGCUGUCUGGUGUCUCUUCUUAGGAGGACCCUGGUCCCAUCAGGGUGGCCCCUCCCUCACCGCCCCAUCUAAUCCCUGUCACCUACCAGAGGCCACCUGCAAACACCCACACACGGGGGUUAGGGCUUCAACACAUGAAUUUGGAGGAGACACCAUCAUUCGGCCCGCGGCAGGGGGGUGGGACAAAAUUCCAAGCUGGCGUUCACCUAAGUUUCCGAAGGGCUUUACAUGGGAGGGAAAAAAACAAAAAAACAGCGCUAUCUAAGAAAACUGGGGCCGUCUUUGAGAAGUUCUGUGCUGCCUUUGCUCUAUUCUGGUAAACUGCGGGUCACCUCUAAAUACAGUUUUCUUCCCAGAAGCAGACUCAACAGAGGCACUGUCGGUUAAAAAUUAAACAGCAAAACGCAACUCAGACCAUGUGAAGGUCUUUUUUUAAAAAGUAAUCGCAGAAAGCAUCUGGUCUCGUGCCCUGAAGGUCGAGAUCCAUUCGGAAAAGGUCACAGUCUGGGCUCAGCGGUGGGUGUCUCGUAGUCUAGCUUUCCCCCUCCCCAGGGUUCCUCGAGCAGCAAACCUCUUCCAGGACACACGGGGGCCUCUUCACCCCGUUCCCUCGAUCUGGGGGGAUCUAGAGUCAUUAGUCUCUUGUUUUAAAAGGCGAACCAGGGACUGCCCAUCGCGUCUCAGUGGGUUACAAACCCGAGCAGCGUCCACAAGGAUGUGGGUUCCAUCCCUGGCCUCGUUCAGUGGGUUAAGGAUCUGGUGUUGCCACAGGCUGUGGCGUAGGUUGAGGAUGCAGCUCGGAUCCCACGUGGCUGUGGCUGUGGCAUAGGCUGCCGAUGCAGCCUCGAUUUUACCCUUAGCCUGGAACAUCUAUAUGAAAAAAAAAAAAAAAGAAGAAGAAGAAAAGAAAAGCAAAAAAAAUAAAAGCAUAAAAGGAGAAUCAGGGAAUAGCCUUUGAUGUAGAGAGUGUUUUCACUGCAGCCAACAGACGCAUCUUCAUUCCUUCUCGUGCCUCGUGCCACACCGUUGUUGUUUGAAGGGUCCAGGGGUACAAAGGGUAAACCAGGCUCUGCUCCCCAGGAGCUUAUGAUGUGAGAACAUUCCGGGGGUAUUCAGCGGAGUUCAAAGAACCAGAACAGGUGAGAGGACAAUGAUGGCCUGAAAGCCACCAUACCCACCUGCCCCAGGGAUAAACCCCGAGCCCAAGGGACAGCCUGAACUUUCCGAAAAACCUCUCCAGGCUAACCUCUAGUUUUCCCAGAUUCUUUGCAGCACAGAGUCAAGACAUUCAAAUAAAACAAAACAUACCAAAAAAAAAAAAAAAAAAAAAAAAAAA
rnacentral:lncRNA from 1 species